rnacentral:RNase_P_RNA from 1 species
CGAGUUGGCCAGACAGUCGCUGUUGCCUUUGGCAAUGGAGGAAAGUCCGGGCUCCACAGGGCAGAGUGCCAGCUAACGGCUGGGAGGCGUGAGCCUACGGAAAGUGCAACAGAAAGGAUACCGCCUGCCUCGGCAGGUAAGGGUGAAAUGGUGCGGUAAGAGCGCACCGCGUCGGUGGCAACACUCGGCGGCGAUGGUAAACCCCACUCGGAGCAAGACCAAAUAGGGGAACAAUGGCGUGGCCCGCGCUGUUCCCGGGUAGGUUGCUUGAGGUGCAUGGUGACAUGCAUCCCAGAUGAAUGACUGUCCGCGACAGAACCCGGCUUAUCGGCCAACUCUUUUU